rnacentral:lncRNA from 1 species
CAGGUGUUUACCAUGAAAAGCCAUUGCUUACUGUUGAUUCAGAACCCCAGGGACUCUCAGAAAGAAAUGUGACUCUCCUCUGUCAUCCACCUACUUUCUUUGACACCUUCAUCUUCUGCAGAGAUGGAAAUGCUUCCUUUCCCCAGAACUGCUUAUGUCAGGACUCCAACACAUUUCCCAUCUCUCCUGGGAGCUCACGGCACAGGAGUACCUAUAGAUGCUUUGGCUCUUACAGAGACAACCCUAACCUGUGGUCACUGCCUAGUGACCCUCUUGAGCUCUCUUUCUCAGGGACCACCAAUGGCAAGACCAGGAGCCAGGUGAAAUAUAAGAGCUCCAGCCCAGCCCUGGACAUUGAAGAAAACAAUAAAUAUGAUGACUUGGAGGGCAUUCAACCUGAGAACAGCAGCCAGGUGGACACACAGGUGAGCUCUCUUUUCCUC